AAGUCGUAACAAGGUUUCCGUAGGUGAACCUGCGGAAGGAUCAUUACUUGUAGCUUAUAGUCCCAUUUGGAUUAUAACGAUACAAACAAACACCAAACUGUGCUCUUUCUUUCACAACCCACUCAUGUUGCUAUGGUCUGUCAUGCUACCACAUGGCACCCCAUAUCACAUCUUACCUUUCAAUAAUAUCAACUGACCCUAUUGUGUGUUGAAACCGUGCGUUUCCACUCACAUCUGUACUAUCUAUUGCUUUCCAUGGGUAUCGUAUUUCACGUUACCCUGGUGAUCGAUGAAAGUACUUGUUGAAUGAUGGGAUGGCUAUAGGUGGCAUGGGUUCGCCCGUGCUCCUGUUGCCAUUCUAUUGCAAACAACUCCGAACAAUGGAUAUCUCGGCUCUC
rnacentral:misc_RNA from 1 species